UGAGGAAUAUUGGUCAAUGGCCUAACGGCUGAACCAGCAACUUGGAGGAAUGUAUAGCAAUUGCUAAUUGUAUCAAUAAAAUAUUGGCACAAUAUCGACUUAGUCGAAUAAAAUUCUAGGUAAAACUAUGAUAAUGACAUUAUUUACCUAUAUGUCUUGACCAAAUUACGUGCCAGCAGUCGCGGUAAUACGUAGAAGACUAGUGUUAUUCAUCUUUAAUAGGUUUAAAGGGUACCUAGACGGUAAAUAAAGCCUUAACUGGGACUAAUUUACUAGAGUUAAAUGUGAGGGAGUUUUAAUGUACUAGAGGUGAAGAGAUGAAAUUCUGUCAUACCUUUUUUCUUUAGAAAAAACUUGGCACAGGUAUAGGUGAAAACAUCUCCUUAUGUAAUAACUGACGUUGAGGGACGAAGGCUUUUUAUCGCGAACAGGAUUAGAUACCCUGGUAGUCAAAGCAGAAAAUGAUGAGUGUCAUAGAUUAGAUAACUAUUUAUUCUAUAAAUGAAAGUGUAAGCACUCCACCUCAAGAGUAAUUUGGCAACAUUGGAACUGAAAUCAUUAGACCGUUUCUGAAACCAGUAGUGAAGUAUGUUGUUUAAUUUGAUAAUCCGCAAAGAACCUUACCACAACUUGAAUGUUUAUGUUUAUAACAUAGAUACAAGUGUUGCACGGCUGUCUUCAGUUAAUGUCGUGAGACUAUGGUUAGCUCCAUUAAAUUAACGUAAACCCUUGCUUUAUUUUUAAAUAGAGCAGUUCUCCACUAUAUUGGAUAAGAUAACAGGGACUAAGACAAGUCAUCAUGGCCUGAAUGUUGUGGGCUAUA
rnacentral:rRNA from 1 species